UCUAGACCAUCUGGAUGAAAAGCUUGUGGGAACGGUAAUGGCAGCCAUAGUUGUCACUCAAAUUCCCUAGAAAAGGGAAAAGUUAGAUCGCUGAACAGAAUGCUUGACAGUGUGACAGAAGAGGACGAAUGAAAGACUUAUAUUCACCCGUGAUAUUUUCCUUUUUCUGGAGGCCUUUUUCUUCCGAAAACCUUCAAUCCGGUGCAUUUGCCUUUAAAUCUGUGAUAGAGACUGUAGGAAGCACGGCUGUCAUUCCAGUGUAGAGGAAACAGCUGCAGGAAUGGUAGCUAUCAAAAAUGCAGUGCAAUGCUUUGGUGAGUCUUUGAUAACAAGACAAACAGUGACAGCAGCCUGAGCGCAACCACGAAAAAAAAAAAAAAAAGAACCACGCUCGUAAGGGAGCGCUUCAAGCACAGUGAGAUACGUACCAGCCUGCUGGCUUCCAAGAGUGUGAUGAAGACACAACCUUUUACUCUGAGAGCUUUUUGAUAUUUUCAGGCUGUUGCAUGCUUGUUGAAUAUGCUCAGAACUGCCAUUUUCUGAAUAACCAGCUGAUAGGAUUGCAGUUAUUUCUACAUAUGUAUGUAAAGAAAAGCGCUGCACAACCGAGCUCCCAAUCAAAUGACCUGAUAAACGAGAUCACACUUGUCUGGAACGUUUGCUCAUGUCAUGGCUUAGUUGCUUUGUAUGUGCUGUGGUAAUGGUCUUAUUCUUUUUAUCAUCUGCCAUCUCUAGUGUAGGUUGCUUGUACCACCUUACAAGGUUUUGUCUGUUCCUUUGCACUGGUGAGGAAGCUCUCAUAUUAACUCUCUCAUUACCUGAUUUAUGUAUGACCUACCACUAUGUGGUCCUGUGCCUUUUUUUCCUCAAAGCCACUUUAUAUUCCAAUGUACCUAUUUAUGAAUAACAAGACACUUGAAUAAAUUGUAUUUAGUGCAUUGUUUUUCAUUGCUUUACUUUCC